rnacentral:rRNA from 1 species
AAGAUAGUGAUAUUAAGNAAACCCAAAAAAGACAGUCUCAGUUCGGAUUGAAGGCUGAAAUUCGCCUUCAUGAAGCCGGAAUUGCUAGUAAUGGCAGGUCAGCAUACUGCCGUGAAUACGUUCCCGGGCCUUGUACACACCGCCCGUCACACCAUGAGAGUUGGGGAUACCCGAAGCCUGUGAGCUAACAGUAAUGAAGCAGCAGUCGAAGGUAGAAUCAAUGAUUGGGGUGAAGUCGUAACAAGGUAAC